AUUGAACGCUGGCGGCAGGCUUAACACAUGCAAGUCGAGCGGAGAUGAGGUGCUUGCACCUUAUCUUAGCGGCGGACGGGUGAGUAAUGCUUAGGAAUCUGCCUAUUAGUGGGGGACAACAUUCCGAAAGGAAUGCUAAUACCGCAUACGUCCUACGGGAGAAAGCAGGGGAUCUUCGGACCUUGCGCUAAUAGAUGAGCCUAAGUCGGAUUAGCUAGUUGGUGGGGUAAAGGCCUACCAAGGCGACGAUCUGUAGCGGGUCGGAGAGGAUGAUCCGCCACACUGGGACUGAGACCCCGACCAGGCUCCUACGGGAGGCAGCAGUGGGGAAUAUUGGACAAUGGGCGGAAGCCUGAUCCAGCCAUGCCGCGUGUGUGAAGAAGGCCUUUUGGUUGUAAAGCACUUUAAGCGAGGAGGAGGCUACCUAGAUUAAUACUCUGGGAUAGUGGACGUUACUCGCAGAAUAAGCACCGGCUAACUCUGUGCCAGCCGCCGCCGUAAAAC
rnacentral:rRNA from 1 species